GCUAGCAUGGCUCAACGGUAGAGCAGCUGAUUUGUAAUCAGCAGGUUGUAGGUUCGAUUCCUAUUGCUAGCUCCA
rnacentral:tRNA from 1 species